CACCUUCCCCUAAAUAAAGUUGAACAGUUCUAGGCUGCGCUCAGAUGCUGAGGGAGACAUCACCCGGAGUGAGCUGCUCUCGCCGCAGCAGUCACCAGCCAGCACCUCUUCCCCCGCCCCCAGCCCUGCACUCUUGGAACGGCGGCAACCUCGAGAGCCCGGCUCCGUGAUCUGCCCAGGGAGGCAAAUGGUAACAGGGGAUAGAAGAUGAAUAUGAGGAGAGAGUGAAGAGAAGAGCAGAUCCUCAUAGGCAGCGAAAAUCCAAGUCAACUCUUCCAUCAUCUUCAAGGCAAAGACUGUGAGAGAAAGAGUGCAUCGUUGGUGUUUCUUCCAAUGAGAUCACCUUUCAACUUAGGAUUCAUGCCUGCCUUCUGGACUUCCGAGAACUAUGAGAAUAUUAAUAAGCUGAAUGCAACCAUCCAGGGUGAAGCCACCCAUCUGGAGGCUCCUCUCUCCUCCAUGGUGGCCCUAAUAAUAGUGCUGAUAAUUAUUUUCUCAUUGGUAAUGACCUCCUUUGUGACAUACUGUUUCCAGAAGUGGAGGCUGAGGGGCCGUAAGCUGCAAAGAGCCCAGGAAGAGUAUCAAAGAGAUCAGGAGAAAAAUAUAUUUCAUAGCCCUUCUGAUCUCAUUUCCUAAAAGUGUGGUAAAUUAUAAGUGAAAGGCACCAUCUGAAACAAAGCAAAAUAACAAGAAAGGACAAAAAAUGAAAUAAGAAGUUGAACAUUAAACAACAUGAAGCAAAACCACAGGCAACAAAAUGACACACUGCAAAGCAAUGUGAAGAGAAAGAGGAGAACGACAAUUGUACAAUGAACUCUGAAAGAAGGGUUCAUCUUGUAGCUGAUUUGUUAUUCAGACUGCUCAUUGUUUGAAAGUUGCCUACAGUUUCAUUGUAGUUUAUAAUCAAGUUGGUGGUGAUUUUGUUUUGUUUUGUUUUAGGGUUUUUUUUUAUGUAAAUCAAAACCAAAACUAUCAUGUAUUUCACAUCAACAUUUUAUUUACCGUCAACCUUUGAUUUGAUGAUGAGUGUGAGUUAUUAGAGGUUCUGCAUUGUUCAUUUAUUUACUUGCCAAGGAUAGCCAGGUGAAUGUACAGACAGGAAUGUUGUUGGUAUCAGGCUUAUCAUGUGGUAGUUUAUUUUCUGAUUAGUAAUAUUUACCAUGAAGAUAAGAAAAAGGAAAAGAAAGACAAUAAUCACAGUACAUGUAACAAAUACUUUAAGUUCUAUUUGCAACAAAAUCAAGUAGAUGUGUUGAAAUGUAAGUAAUGUGUGUUUUAUAAAAAGGAUAAAAAAAGAAAACUCAAGUCCCAGACAACCACUUAUCCCCUGUUCCACUGAAGCUUUGCCUGAGUUAUGGAUUGCUUGAAAUUAAUUAAUUAAUGUUGUAUAUGUUUGAAAAAAAUUCAUUUCUGGUAAUAGUGCUGUAUGUAUACUUGUUUUGGUAGAACAAAAUGGUCAUUAUAAUAUGACUGAGACAUUUUUCAAAGUAUGUGUUACUUAAGUAGUGUUGAUAAUUAAAAUAUGAAAAUGUCUUGGAUUUUAUAAAUGAAAUUUAUUAAAUGAAAAUAGAUGUCUUAUAGAAUGCAUUGUGGAGUAUAUCAAUCAUUGGAUAUGAAAGCAAGUCCUCUUACUUUGUGACUCAAUAAAUAUGUGCAUUAAAAAGAAAAUAUUAGUUUUUUGGAAACUAAUAAGAAUAAUUGUCUUGGGUUAAAAUUGUCUUUACUAAAUACUUAAUGUGAAAAAAAAUUCUGGAAAUUGAGACCACUGAAGAGUGUACAUCAGGGAAUUUAUGAAAAGGGAAGGAGAUAAAGUGAAAUAGAAGCAAAGGGGUUUCUAAAGUACAAACAUAUAGUUUCAAAGGCCCAGAAAGUAAAAUCAUGUAUAGAAAUAAAAUACAUAGUCUCUUCUUAAGGAACUUGGAUUGGGACUCAAAAUGAACAUUAGGAGUUAAGGUAAGAACAUCUGCAAAGCACAAAAAUUGGAAUCUUGGUGUAUAUAGUUAGCUCAAAUGCCUCUAGGCUUCACAAGCCUAUGGAGACAUACACAGUAUUUUAAUAUUAAGGACCCAGAGUUCUUAUUCCACUUCCCACUUGGUCAUGCAAGACCUCUAACUUCUCUUGCAACUUCACUGAGAGUCUAAAGUGUACAAAUGGAAUGAAAGAAGAGAGGCAAUAGUGUUUACAAUCCAUAUCUCACCUUUUGUCACUACAUAGUGACUAUAAUGUUCUUUCUCUCAUACUUUGUUUUCCUAUUUGAUAACAUCAGCUACCUAUAAAGCCUCGCUCUUAACCCCUGAAGAUGGUGCCCAUACAUGGAAGUUAGGUCUGUGCCAUUUAUGCCACCUUCCAGUUUUUACAAACUACCAUUCCAUGUGGUGCUAAGAGUAGUAUGAGGUCCCAUAUAGAACUGAAGAUAAAGCUCAUCCCCAAAUUCUGUAUUAGGCUUCCUAAACUGGAUUCCAUGUAAGUAUUAAUGGAUACCAGACUUUCAACAAAAUAACUUCACCCCCACAAAAGCAUCAGAAGUUCAAAUGCAUUUGAAGGGUAGAAUUAAGGAUAACACUAUAUACCAUCUCCUUCAGUCCAGCUCUCCAUACUCUCCCUCCUUUCCUUGGUUACAAAACAAAUUCUUCGGUUUUCUUCCAAUAUCAGUAAGUAAAAAAGAAACUGAAAAGAAGUUAAAAAGUUACUAUUCAUGAGUCUUGGUCCAUUUCAUGCUGUUAUAACAGAAUACUAUAAACUGAGUAACUUGCAAUGAACAGAAAUUUAUGUAUCAUGGUUCUGGAGGCUGGAAUGUCCAAGAUGGAGGGAAUCACAUCUGGUAAGAACUUUGCCUUUUUGCUGCAUCAUCUCAUUGUGGAAAGUGGACUGGCAAGAGAUCAUAAGAAAGAAGAGCAAAGACCCUAAACUCAUUUUAUCAGGAGCUACUCCCAUGAUAAUGGCAUCAAUCCAUUCAUGAAAGCAGAGCCCUCGUGACCUAAUCACCUGUUAAAGGUCCCACCUCUCAACACUGUUGCAUUGUGUGUUAAGUUCCUAACAGUGGAGGGCACAUUCAAAUAAUAGCACCAUGCUAUCUUAGUCCCCACAAAUGCACUAUUUCGGUAGUUCCAGAUACAGAGAAGAAUGUGAAGUGAGGGAGUAAUCUGAGAAGUGGUGUGGUCAUAAAGAUUUUAAUCCUAUAAAAUGAUUUUGAAUUAGAUUUUGAAGAAACAGAAGAAUGUGAUAUGGAGAAGAAUAAAAAAAAAAGGACUAAAAUUCCUGGCGGGAUAAUGACAUUUGCAAAGUUUUAAAUAUUUGACUUUCUCUUUCCUGAAGCAAGGAGCUGAUCAAUCUGCUGGUGGGUCUUCUGGGGUAGCAUGAGGAAUUUGCUAAGGAUAGAAUUUUUCUAAGAUAGCAGGCAAAGCUGAAAGAUGGGCAAGCUGGGAUAAAGGUCAAAGUGGAGGUUAGAUCUUCAAAAAGAGAAGGGCAUCCCAAUUGCCUUCCAAAAGAGAAGACAAUACUUAAGUAGACAAAACUCAGCAGGAGAAUUGGUUAAAGCUGAGAAAAACAGAUUGAGUGCCAAUUUCUGAGUCUACUGAUGUUACCCUCGACAGAUUUUUGCAUGCUUUUUAUAUAUUUAAGUAGACAAAAUAGGACUAAAACAAGUUAGAACUAAAAUAUACCCUAAAUUCAAAGAUAAGUUUUAUUUCUGUUUAAUGUAAUAAUCCAAAGCAGAAGUUUCAAAUGGGUUGAUGGUGGCUGCAUGAGAGCAAGAGGCUUUGCUCCAUGAGACAUUCAGGGGUCCAGGCUGAUGACACCUAACUUUCUAUUUUCUCUAGUUAUCAUGGUGACCAUUUCAGUACACAAAAAGUGAGAAAGAAUAAGGAAGAAUACACUUGGAGGUUGUUUUUUUUUUUAAUUUAUAUACUUCUUUGAAAUUCAGAGUGACAGAGACAGAAAGAGUGAGAGACAGAUCUUCCAUCUGCUGGUUCAAUCCCCAAAUGGCCACAAUGGACAGGGCUGGGCCAGGUCCAAGCCAGGAGCCUGGAGCUCCAUCCAGGUCUUCUACAUAGGCGAAAGGGGCGCAAGUACUUGGGCCAUCUUCCACUGCUUCCCUGUGCAAUACCAGGAAGCUUGAUCAGAGGUGGAGCAGCUUUGACUCAAACUGGUGCCCAUAUGGGAUGCCAGCAUCACAGGCUUAAACCACUAAGCCAACAAUGCCAGCCCCAUGUGGAGGUUUUUAUAUGUAAUUCCUUGAAAUAAGACAUACCACUUCUUCCCACAUUCCAUUGGAGAGAAUUUGGUCAUAUAGUCAUAUCUAACUACAAGAGAAGCUGGUACUUUGGCAGGGCAGCUAUCUGCCUAGAUAAUUAUGGUACACGAGGAAAAAUGAUUUUAGAGGACAGUCAACAGUCUCACCACAUAAUGCCAUGGAGACAAAAUCUAUAUAUUCCUAUGGGGCAAGCUGUUACUGGAUUUAAAAUGAAAGAAGGGGUGUGUUGAUUAUGUACAAACCAAACAAGAAUGCCCUCAUCAAAGAAUAAUGAGAAUAAUAGAAAAGAACAUGACAAAAACCAGGUACAACUUAAAAAUUUGGUGAAAUAACAAAUAACUGUAGCUUCUUGAGUAGAAAGUAAUGAUAAAAUUAUAUUUAAUAUGCUCAAUAAAUAAAUAAUAUGAUUUACCUAUAUUGUCAAAUGGAUUUUGGAUGACUUACCUAUAAUUGGACACAUUUUUAUAAAUCAGAAUACAAAUCAAUUACAUAUUGACUUAGAUUAUAACAUUGGAGGUGGUUAGACUAGCACAGAGGUUAUUAUGGUUGUCUAGGCUUGAGAAUGUUUGAACACUUAGUUCUACUUGAGUGAUGGUCAUGGAAGCAGGAAGUAGGAUUCUAGCUUGAAGAGACACUAUAGAGAAAGAAUCAACAACACUUGGAGAAGUACUGAAACAGGCAGUGAAGGAGAGCUAUAAAUUGAAGCUCACGUAAUCAAGAAAUACUGACCACAUAUCAUGGUCUAUACUUGGUAUGGGAGAUAGGCAGCCUACAUAAGAAACUUGAAAGGCAGAGUGACAGAUAUCAAUAAAGAUGGAUGGAUGGA